AAAUAAAAGAGAAGAAAAAAA
rnacentral:sRNA from 1 species